rnacentral:rRNA from 1 species
ACGUGAUCUGAGUUCAGACCGGAGUAAUCCAGGUCGGUUUCUAUCUAUAAUCUAAGCUUAUUCUAGUACGAAAGGACCGAAAAAGCAUGGCCCAUGCCUACAGUAAGCCAUCAUUAGCAAUUUAUGACUUCAACUCAAUUUAUUACUAACUUACAACCUCCCUCAAAAUUAGAGA